AUGGGGGGACCAUCCUCCAAGGCUAAAUACUCCCAGUUGACCGAUAGUGAACCAGUACCGUGAGGGAAAGGCGAAAAGAACCCCUGUGAGGGGAGUGAAAUAGAACCUGAAACCGUAUACGUACAAGCAGUGGGAGCAGACUUGUUCUGUGACUGCGUACCUUUUGUAUAAUGGGUCAGCGACUUACAUUCAGUGGCAAGCUUAACCGAGUAGGGGAGGCGUAGGGAAACCGAGUCUUAAUAGGGCGUUUUAGUCGCUGGGUGUAGACCCGAAACCGAGUGAUCUAUCCAUGGGCAGGUUGAAGGUUGAGUAACAUCAACUGGAGGACCGAACCCACUGUCGUUGAAAAGCCAGGGGAUGACCUGUGGAUAGGAGUGAAAGGCUAAUCAAACUCGGAGAUAGCUGGUUCUCCUCGAAAGCUAUUUAGGUAGCGCCUCGUGUAUGACCACCGGGGGUAGAGCACUGUUUCGGCUAGGGGCCCAUCCCGGGUUACCAAACCGAUGCAAACUCCGAAUACCGGUGAGUAUGAGCACGGGAGACACACGGCGGGUGCUAACGUCCGUCGUGAAAAGGGAAACAACCCAGACCGCCAGCUAAGGUCCCAAAGUUCUAGUUAAGUGGGAAACGAUGUGGGAAGGCUAAGACAGCUAGGAGGUUGGCUUAGAAGCAGCCAUCCUUUAAAGAAAGCGUAAUAGCUCACUAGUCGAGUCGGCCUGCGCGGAAGAUAUAACGGGGCUCAAACUAGACACCGAAGCUGCGGAAUGUAGAUUUAUCUACAUUGGUAGAGGAGCGUUCUGUAAGCCGUUGAAGGUGGAUUGAGAAGUCUGCUGGAGGUAUCAGAAGUGCGAAUGCUGACAUAAGUAACGAUAAUGCGAGUGAAAAACUCGCACGCCGGAAGACCAAGGGUUCCUGUCCAACGUUAAUCGGGGCAGGGUGAGUCGACCCCUAAGGCGAGGCUGAAGAGCGUAGUCGAUGGGAAACGGGUUAAUAUUCCCGUACUUGCACUAACUGCGAUGGAGAGACGGAGAAGGCUAGGCCAUCCGGGCGUUGGUUGUCCCGGUUCAAGGGUGUAGGCUGAAAACUUAGGUAAAUCCGGGUUUUCGUUAAGGCUGAGACCUGAUGAGGGUGACUCUACGGAGUCCGAAGUGGUUGAUGCCAUGCUUCCAGGAAAAUCUUCUAAGCUUCAGGUUAGUGUGAAUCGUACCCCAAACCGACACAGGUGGUCGGGUAGAGAAUACCAAGGCGCUUGAGAGAACUCGGGUGAAGGAACUAGGCAAAAUGGUGCCGUAACUUCGGGAGAAGGCACGCUGUUGUUGGUGAUCGGACUUGCUCCGUAAGCUGACGACAGUCGAAGAUACCAGUUAGCUGCGACUGUUUAUUAAAAACACAGCACUCUGCAAACUCGAAAGAGGACGUAUAGGGUGUGACACCUGCCCGGUGCCGGAAGGUUAAUUGAUGGGGUUAGCGCAAGCGAAGCUCUUGAUCGAAGCCCCGGUAAACGGCGGCCGUAACUAUAACGGUCCUAAGGUAGCGAAAUUCCUUGUCGGGUAAGUUCCGACCUGCACGAAUGGUGUAACGAUGGCUAAGCUGUCUCCACCCGAGACUCAGUGAAAUUGAAAUCGCUGUUAAGAUGCAGUGUAUCCGCGGCUAGACGGAAAGACCCCGUGAACCUUUACUACAGCUUCACACUGGACUUUGAUAUUGCUUGUGUAGGAUAGCUGGGAGGCUUUGAAGCGUGGACGCCAGUUCAUGUGGAGCCAACCUUGAAAUACCAGCCUGGCAAUAUUGAGGUUCUAACGCAGGUCCCUUAUCGGGAUCGCGGACCGUGUGUGGUGGGUAGUUUGACUGGGGCGGUCUCCUCCCAAAGAGUAACGGAGGAGCACGAAGGUGGGCUAAGCAUGGUCGGAAAUCAUGCGGUUAGCGUAAAGGUAGAAGCCCGCUUGACUGCGAGACGUACAUGUCGAGCAGGUACGAAAGUAGGUCUUAGUGAUCCGGUGGUUCUGUAUGGAAGGGCCAUCGCUCAACGGAUAAAAGGUACUCCGGGGAUAACAGGCUGAUACCGCCCAAGAGUUCACAUCGACGGCGGUGUUUGGCACCUCGAUGUCGGCUCAUCACAUCCUGGGGCUGAAGCCGGUCCCAAGGGUAUGGCUGUUCGCCAUUUAAAGUGGUACGCGAGCUGGGUUUAGAACGUCGUGAGACAGUUCGGUCCCUAUCUGC
rnacentral:rRNA from 1 species